rnacentral:lncRNA from 1 species
CCUGCACUUUUGAAUGCCCUGAGUCUCCAAAGAAAUUCUCUCCCUGAUCUUUUCUCCCACUGCGUGGGUCAUCUGUCGGGUCUCAGUCUUGCUACAGGUUGUUUCCCGCCAUCCAAUGCGCCAAUACACAUCCAUGUUGGGAGCUGUCAAAGUUCAAAAAUAUCCAAAGUCCAGAGGAAAAUAUUUUAAAUGGAAGAAAAAUCUUGGUCACCUUCCAGACUUUUUGCCAAGAAAAGGAUCAAAUUAACACAGCUAUCAACGUUCUAGCGCUGCUGUAACAAAACGCCAAGGACAAGGUGACUGCCUGCUGCCCGAGUCCAGAGGAGGGCGGCGUCCACAGCCUCUCUGCCUCAUGGACCUUCGGUGUGCCUGUGUCCUGCCCUUUUCAAAACAGCAGUCAGCUGAAUUCGACCUAACCCGAGAAGGCCUGGUCCUAGCUGAAUCGCCUGUUUACUAUCUGUGGUGGUUAAGGUCAUUCUAAGUGGGAACGCCCAGCUGAGCCGAGUCACCCACCUGGGUGAGGACUGUUGCCAAGGGCAUACAGGAGAAUGGGCGGGAAGGUGCUGCCAUUGAUCUUCCUGGAGAAGCUGGCUGUGGCUGGUUUUCCUGAAACUAAGUCAGCUGUUCUCGAAGGAGGAGGAGGAGGAGCCGGGUCCUUGCGCUGUCGCUGGGAUGGCUGCUGUUCUCUUCCAGGAGUGCUGGUCUUCACCGUGCGCACACGAGCCUCAGCCUGUGUACUGACCCCUCGCCCCGCAGGUGCAGACUUUCCAGCUUCACCACGGGCACCCGGCAUUCCCAGUCGACUCUCUGUAUGGACUUGCCUGUGACGUUGCCCUGGGCCCCACGCCUCUGAGUGGUCUCAGCAACAGCACCUGUCUCCAAACACAGCCACAUUCAGCGUUGGUGCCAGGUAAUGUGGCAGAGCAAACCUGCGGCAUCACCUGGAGGGAGCAAAGAGAGAGGAGGACUGGGGAUCUGGAUCUCCUCACCCGCUCUUAGCCAAAAGGCUGGGCCUCCACCAAGCCACGUCCUCGAAGAGCUGCAGGCCUCCUGCCAGGCCCCUCCUUUGGGUCCACAGCACCUCCCAUAGCAGCGCCCUGGCACCUGCAGAGACCACAGGACUCCGAGGGUAGCAAAUGUCUAUGCAAACCUGCAGCUGGCAUCAGCCUCAAUGGUGAAAGGCUAAAUGCUUUCCUUAAAAUAGGGAACAAGGGGCGAAUCUGCUCACACCACCGCUAUUUAAUGUAGUAUAAGUAGGGGCCAACAGCGUAGGCAAAGAAAGCAAAAAACGCCCAGAGCAGAAAUGACUGUUCCUAUUUGCAGACGACAUAAUAACUGAAGAAAUGUCUCACAAGAAAUUUAUAAAAAACAAAAAACCAAAACACUCCUAAAAAUAAAUUCAUCCUUCACAAAAUAGAAAUACAAUUGAUUUUUGUAUAUUAUCUUCUAUCCGCUAUGAAAGAACACAAACACUGAAAUUUAAUAUGUCAUCUGCCAUUAUUUAACAAAAAUUGAACACUUAUGUGUAAAUCUAACAAAACAUGCACUAGAUUUGCUUGCCGAAAAGGACACAACACCAAUGAAGUGAAUGAGAAAAGAUCUGAGUAAAUGGAGAGGACACGGGCUUGUGACUGGGUAGAUGCAACCUAAUAAAGAUCUGACUCUCUCCAAAUGGCAAGAUCGGUGCAAUUUCUAUUAAAAUCCUAGCAAGGAUUCUGUAGGUAUUAGUUAUUCAAAACUUAUAUGAGAAAGCAAAAGAAUCACUAAGAUGAAUUUGAAAAAGAAGAAUGAAGCCAGAGUAAUCGGUCUGCCCAAUUCCAAGACUUUUUUUUUUUAACCAAGGUAAGGGAGCAACUCAGCUGUGGAGAGAGAGCCUUUCCCACACACGGCCACCCACAGGCCAACAAGCGACUCUCAAGCUUCACAUCUUAUUCAAACAUUAUUUCAAAGGAGGACGCAGACUUAAGUAUAAAAUAACAUCACCACCACCCCCGUGUUCAGAAAAGAGGAGAAAAUCUGUGGUUUGUGGAAUGAGGCAAGAAGUUCUUAGACUGGACAUGAAAAGCAUGAUCCAUAAAAGGAAAAAUUGGUAAGUUGGACUGAAUCAAAACUUACAACUUUUGUUCUGCAAAAGACCAUGGCAGGAGGACUAACUAUAGUUAUAAUAAUUUGUUAUGGAAUACACAAUAUAAAUAGACAGAAAACACAAAAUCAGUGCAUAAAAUGUGGGGUGGGGAAGAAGUAAAAAUGUAGUCUUUGUAUGCAUUCAAAGUCAAGCUGUUGCUAGCUUAAAUUAGAAUAUUAUAACUAUACAUGUUUUAUGUAAGCCUCAUGAUAACCGCAAAGAAAAAAUCCUCUAGUAGGUACACAAAAAAUAAAGAGAAUGAAAUCAAAUCAUACCAGCACAAAAAUGGAACAAAUCAUAAAGGAAGACAGCAAGACCGGUAGAAAGGAAAAAGAAACCACAAAACAGUUGGCAAUAGUAAGUCAUGACCUGUCAAUAAUUCCUUUAAAUAUAGAUAACAUCUCUCAUCAAAAGAUAGAGUGGCCAAAUGGAUUUUUUAAAAUCCAAGAAUAUGCUGCCAAUAAGAGACUCAGUUUGCCUUAAGGAUACACAUGGGCCAAAGGGAAGGAAUGGGAAAAGCUAUUCCAGGCACAUGGAACCUAAAACCAGUCAAGGAUGGUUGUAUUUAUAUCAGACAAAACCAAUUUUAAGUUAAAAAAAAUUGUAAAAGGAGACAAGGAAGGCCACCAUAUAUUGAUAAGGGGGUCAAUUCAUCAAGAGCACAUAACAACCCUAAAUAUUUAUGUGCCAUGUUCGGAAAUUUAAAAGAAUUCUAAAAUAAUAAGGGACUCGGACUCUCUAAUAGCAAGAACACAAGCAAAACUCCCAAGAACUCUGAUUUUAAAAUGAGUGAAGGACCUGAAAAGACAUUCCUUAGGAGACAUACAAGUGGCCAGAGGAGGUAUGAAAAAAGUGCUCAGCAGGGUAACCACAGGGAAGCGCAGCCCAGACCCACGGGGAGACACGGUCCCUUGUCACCGCGGUCGUCGCUGAAUGGCUGUUCUGUAAUGACGGCAAAUCACUGCCAGCGGGUGUGGAGAGAGGAGCAUCCCUCACUGCCAGGGGGAGCAAGCCCAUGCGGCUGUGCAGAGGACCAAGGGAAGACCCCUGCAAACAUCAACCAUGGAGCCAGCAUGCAGCCGGCACCGCUGAGCACGCACGUGAAGGAAUGGAGGUGUCCGUCCACUGCAGCCCUGCUCGUGCUGCUAAGCGAGGAAGCCAUCUGUGCAGAUGUGUGGAUAAAGGAAAUGCGCUGCAUGGACACAACACAGUACUGUUCACUCUUUACAAUGAAAAGGAAAUCCAGUCAUCCGCAACAUGGACAGCCUGGAGGACACCGUGCUGAGUGACACAAGCCAGACGAGACAAGAAAAGCAGGUACUGCAUGUGGCACUCACGCCCAGACUCUGCCCUGUCCUCCUCACCAAGCACAGAGCAGGACACAGAGGCACGGGCCCACCGUGACAGCUUAGAGCUCUCUCUCAGACACGACGGUCGGAGAUCCGCAGCACGGCAAGGAGUGGAUUUCACAACUCCUGAAAGAGUCCAUGUGCAACAUCCUCCCCAGCACGCAGAGUGUGAGGAGACUGUGACCCUAGUUCGAUUUGAUCAUUCCACAGCGUAAACACACAUCGAAGGGUCACGCUGCACUCACACACGCAU